rnacentral:pre_miRNA from 1 species
AGAUCAUGAUACCUACCACCUUCAGGUCAGCUACGACACGAGCGCUCCUCGUUCGUCUCGUAACUGCCCUGAAGGUGGUCCUGGCGUCUUUA